rnacentral:lncRNA from 8 species
AUUACGAGAGUACAACAUACCAAGACCAGGCACUGAAACAGACUAGAUAUUAGAACCAGGUAUGGCUUUAGAUACAUUUUCACUAAAGAUUCUUUGAUUUCAAUGUUUCCAUAUAUUGACUCUCUCUCAGAUUGUAGCAGACAGAAUAACUAAGUACAGAAAUCUCUGUUUGUAUUUCAGUCCAAUGUGUCUGACACCCUGCCGCUCAUGACUUUACAGCAGUGCGUGCAAGACCUGAUGGACGGAUACUUCCCUUCUGAGCUACAGGACAGGUUUGCAGAUGGGGUGCCCUUUUAGGUGUGUGUGUCUGCUUUGUGUGCAUGCGUGAAUUUCAAAUGUGCUUACUGUAGGAAAACGGACUACCUGGACAAUGUAUUUCCUGUUUGUUUUGUGGUGAGUAGUGGCACGUCGUCUUUUGGCGUACACAGGUUCACGACAGGCGAGAGGAGGCGUUCCAAGAGAGGUGACCGUGGGUGGAGCUCCCUGGGAAGGGGCAGGCUGUUGUUGGAUGCACAGAGGGGGAGAAAUCAACAGACAGCCUAGAACACGCGUACUGUGCCGUCUCCCAGAUACCCGGCUGCCCAGGGUGUUGGUGAAGGCUGGUAGAGUGAUUGACAUCAGGGACUCCGUGAAAGCCAGUCUGCAGGGCUCUUCUGAUGCUCCAAACAGCCAUGCUGUGACCCUCAUAGACACACCAGUGCUACAGGC